CCCGGCCUAGCUUAGCCUGGCUAGAGCGGCUGACUGUAGAUCAGCAGAUCCCUUGUUCAAAUCAUGGGGCCGGGACCA
rnacentral:tRNA from 1 species